GACACUGUCGUGUGUGUCAUUUUCAUCAUACAGGUGUAAGGGGGUCAUAAGAGCAAUGAGGCAACCUAAACAAAUCAUAACAUACCUGAGUAAAGGAAUCACGAAAAGUUCAAGGGACAAAUAUGAACUUUCAAAUUCAAAACUAUGUUGGCUUGCAAAAAACUUGCUGACCUACUCCAAAAAGAACAAAGGUCCAGGUUUCUCCAUAAAUCUUGAGGAAUCUGAAGAGUGCAUGGAAAAACUUGCAGUAGUGAUUAAAUGUGUAGACAAGGAAAAAAAUGCAUAUGUUUUUGUGCCUAAUGAAACAACACCUGUACCCAUGGAAGUGGCUUUAAUGAUGAUGGUAAACAGACCUCCAACAUGUCCAAACAUCAUUCGGCUUUUGGACUGGACUGAGACAGCCUCAGUAUAUAUUAUGGUUAUUGAGAGACCAUUUUUUUGCCAGGACCUGUCUGAUUUUAUGCAUUCCCAAGGUGGAAAACUAUCAGAACCAGUGGCAAAGUGUUUUUUUAAGCAAAUAACUGAGGCAGUUCAGUACUGCCACUUCAAAGGUGUAUUCCAUAACGAUGUGAAGAAGGAAAAUAUAUUGGUGGUCACUGGGACAUUCCAGUUAAAGCUGAUUGACUUUGGGUGUGGCUAUUUUUUGAAAGACACAGAGUACAGUGGCCAUGUUGGCACAAUACCUUAUUUUGCCCCAGAGCGAUUUCUUUAUAACACAUUCCGAGCAAUUCCAAGCACUGUCUGGACUUUGGGUGUCAACCUAUUUGAAAUGGUCAGUGGGUUCCUGCCAUUUAGUAGUAUAGAUGACAUCUUAAGAAACACUCCCCCUUUUCUUUUUGGCAUUUCUGAAGGUGAGAUGAAAAAAAAACAAAAAACAUUUCACCCGAAUAGAUUUAAUGGUUAACUAUUUCUAAUUUAUCCCCUUUUUAAAUUUUUCUCUAUGUCAAUCCUCAUUCUAGAAUGCAGGGAUCUGAUCAAAUGUUGCCUUACAUUUGACUCAAAUCAGCGUCCCUGCCUGGAAGAUUUACUUCGUCACAAGUGGUUACAGUAGAAGUGGCCUUAGCAGGACAUAUUAUACCAAGGUGAUUAAGGAAUCCUAGGCUGCUGCCACUCUGCUCCUUGUUGGAAACAAAAACGUUUAAUUUUCCCCUGUCUUUGUGCUUGAGUGUGUUUCAUUUCUGUUCCUACCAAGCACUUUGUCCACAAACUAAAUCCUGUUCCGUAGGAGAAUUUUGUGCCUCAUUUGAUUGAACAGGUUUCAGACAAUAGAGUUGUUUCUGGUCUAAACUGUUAAAUUAUUAUAAGAAAAUGUGGUGCAAAGUUUCUUGCAUUUAAUUUUUUUUUUUUAAGUGAUAUUCAAAUUAUUACUCUGGCCUGAUUAUAAAGAACAGGUAAGACACUCAUUCAUUGUUUGAUAGCUUGAUCAUUUGAAAUGCAUUAACUACCAUAAAUAAGAUUGAGCAAAAUGUUUCUUACUGCACAUUCAUUAUAGUUAUAUCUUUAACUGCAGAGAGCUAAGAUACAGUAUAUUUGCUGAAUAUAUUUUGACUUGAAUGCAAAUUAUGCUUUCCUCCAUUUUGGAGUGUUGCUAUGCUGUACAAUAAUACUUUAGGCAUACUGGUGGCUUUCCAUGUUUACUUGACAUAAUAAAACUCUUGAAUUUCUGUCAUCUUUCUUCACACAUCAUAGAAAGUGUUCUGAAUUUUGAUUUCACUCCCCACUAAUAAUGGGGAAAAUAAUAUUCUCUGAAAUGAAUGAAUGCCCAUCAGCCAAGACUAUAAAACAUGCAAAUCAUGACAGUUGCAGAAAUUAAUAUCGGUUGUAUGGAUAAGAUUUACUUGUUUUGUAGUCAUACUGGUAGAAAGAAGUGUGUAAGUGGAGAAACCAAUUUACUCAUGGUUUGCAAAUAAUUGUAUUGCAAAACAAAGAAUCACCUUGCAAUGUUCGUUCAGCUCAGUCUGAUGAUUUUCUACAUGCAAUAAUUAUAUUUGUAUGGGAGGUAUAACUUUAAAACUGCUACUGGUUUAAGCCUGUAUUUUUUUGUGACUCGUUCAGAGUUCUCCAUAUUUCUUUGUUUUUAUGUUAAUAAACCUGAAUGUGAAUAUGCUAUGUAAAUUUGAAAACGUUUUUGAUAUAGAGGAAAUAAUUAUUCACUAUUAUGAAAAUGUUCUGCUAUGGAGUUUCAUAUGCAGUGAAUUUGGCUUUUGUUUAUUUAACCACAACAUUUUGUUUCUAACAGGUGAAACAAAAUGCAGCUUUGCAGACUUUUUUUGCUUUCUUUUUUUAUUAUUAAUUUCUAUCCUAUGUUUAAAUUCCCUUCUAUUCAUUAUCUCUUUGUCAUCUGCUUAUUCUCCACUAUUGAGUUUUCUGUGGGUAAACCCCCUAGAUGUACAGUACUGAUGAUGUGUGUUAGAUUAAUUGAUGAAUCUAAAUUGGUCUGAUGUGGAUGACUGCAUGAUUGUGCACUGCAAUGGACUGAUAACCUUUCCACAGUUAUGUGACAUAGUAAUUCUUGAAGCAGGUUUGUACUUUUGAGUUAAAAGAAGUCUCCCUUUCCCAGUGCAGCAAACAGUUUUCACUCAAAAUAAAGCAAAAUAGCAUUGCCCAUAGAAGAUGAAAGUAUGGUGAUUGAUUUUUAUUCUAUUUAAGCAGCCAAGUUAUUUAAGUUGAAUGAUAAUAAAUGCUGUUAUUAUGAAAUUAUUAUUUAAACAUUUUUAUGUACAUAAUGGAUGGAUAUUGAGUAUGUAGACAAAUAAAGUAUAUCUAUCUAUGGUCUUGUAAAGACAUAUAUAAGAACUAGCGUAUAAUGGUGAAAUGUAUUAUCUUGGCUUAUUUUGGCCUAAAUGUUUAUGUUACACAGCUUAAAUCAUUCCCUUAUAUGUUUAGUAUAUUCCAGAUGUCAUUAAUCACAUAACUGAAGAAAAUGCUAAAAGUAUAUUUAAGAGUUAAACAAUUGCUCUCAAAUGAAAUUCAAGAAAUAUCCUAUAAGUAUAGUGGAGACAAAUAGCUUAUUUAAUAUGGGAUUUUAGGCUUUCACCUACCUAGUCUUUUUAGUUGAUGCAGUUAUAAACAAUGUUCUUAUUGUACCAUAUGAUAGUUUUUCUUGGUUAUGCUGUUGGUUUCAUGCAAGCAUAAUUAAACUGAUUUUAUUUCUAAACUGAGAUACUUAACCACAGCCUUUGUAAUGACCCAAAUUUACAAUGUAAAGUUUGUUAAAGAUGUUUCAAACCUUUACCUAUUGGCUCCAGGACAGUAGAACCUUUCAGGCUUAAUGCUGGAGAAAACACACCUUUGAAAUACAUCUUCAUUUUUUAUUGCAUGUCUGCUUUGUUGUAUUCUGAGAAAACAUUGCAGGGUAUCAUUUUUCUUGCAGCUAACACCAUGGACAGGAUCUGGUAAGAUUUUACUUUCUAUUGCAGUCCUAUCUUAGCCAUGCUGAAUUGUGAAAUGGCUGCUUCCUGAUGUAUUUGAAAGUGAUUUGGUAAGUCAGGUGUGUAUUGUCUAUGCCAAAGUGUGUUAAAUGAUUUUUAUUUUUUUUAACUAAUAAAGUACACUAAAAGUACACUCUUAUCUCAUGAUCAUAUCUUUCUGUGUCUUUGUUAAAUAUAUUCUGGAAUGUUGUACUAUUUACUAUGUUAGGUAGGCACUUUUAUGAUUUAGUGAAGUUUAUAUACACAAAGUCCCUUUCAGCACUGCAUUGCGGCCUCUCCUUUCUUUAUUUGUGUGUUUUCAUCCCUGCUGAUUUCUUUAAAUAGGCCAAAUUUGUAUGUUUACAGUGUCCAUAGAGAAUAUGUAAAACACAAUUUUUACUGUGCUUCAGCCAAACUCUGAAUGUUAUAUUUAAAGAAUUUUAAUCUUACUUAACACCCAUGCUACCCAACACCAUAUACUACAAUUACAAACAUAAUAUGACU